rnacentral:rRNA from 1 species
GAUUAAGCCAUGCAUGUGUAAGUAUAAAUAAUUCUACUUUGAAACUGCGAAUGGCUCAUUAUAUCAGUUAUAGUUUAUUAGAAAAAAUGUACUACUUGGAUAACCGUAGUAAUUCUAGGGCUAAUACAUGAAUGAAUCCUCGACUUUGAAGAGGUGUGUUUAUUAGUAUGAAAACCAUAUGCUUCGGCAUGAUAGUGAGUAAUAAUAACCUUUCGUAUCGUAUGUUGAAAUAACGAUAGUUCUUUCAAGUUUCUGCCCUAUCAGCUUUCGAUGGUAGUGUAUUGGACUACCAUG